AGCGAACGCUGGCGGCAGGCCUAACACAUGCAAGUCGAACGAAGUCUUCGGACUUAGUGGCGGACGGGUGAGUAACACGUGGGAACGUACCUUUUGGUUCGGAACAACUCAGGGAAACUUGAGCUAAUACCGGAUGAGCCCUUAGGGGGAAAGAUUUAUCGCCGAAAGAGCGGCCCGCGUUAGAUUAGCUAGUUGGUGAGGUAAAGGCUCACCAAGGCUACGAUCUAUAGCUGGUUUGAGAGGAUGAUCAGCCACACUGGGACUGAGACACGGCCCAGAUUCCUACGGGAGGCAGCAGUGGGGAAUCUUGCGCAAUGGGCGAAAGCCUGACGCAGCCAUGCCGCGUGAAUGAUGAAGGUCUUAGGAUUGUAAAAUUCUUUUACCAGGGACGAUAAUGACGGUACCUGGAGAAAAAGCCCCGGCUAACUUCGUGCCAGCCGCCGCAGUAACAC
rnacentral:rRNA from 1 species